rnacentral:rRNA from 1 species
UACGGAGGGUGCAAACGUUGCUCGGAAUCAUUGGGCGUAAAGGGCGCGUAGGCGGUUUUGUAAGUCGGAUGUGAAAGCCCAGGGCUCAACCUUGGAAGUGCAUCCGAAACUGCAUAACUGGAGUCUCGGAGAGGGUGGUGGAAUUCCCAGUGUAGAGGUGAAAUUCGUAGAUAUUGGGAGGAACACCGGUGGCGAAGGCGACCACCUGGACGAAGACUGACGCUGAGGCGCGAGAGCGUGGGGAGCAAACAGG